CUUAGAUUAUUUUCGUGUGUGUGAGUUGAGAGCAGAGUUUGGCUAGUCUGGAAGAGGAAAUUGCGAUAAGCGUCACUGAGAUGUUCUUGUUGAUAAUAUCUAAAUCCGCUUUUCGUCUUCUUGUUCCCCGCGGUGCGUCAAGGGUGUUUCUGGGCUGAUCUACGAGGAGACACGCGGUGUGUUUAUGGAGAACGUUAUUCAUGAUGCUGUGAACUGCAAUCAGCUCAUUAAAAGAAACACCGUCGCCGCCAUAUAAUGUGUGCUCUGAAAGGACAGGGACGCGUUAUGUAAGAGACUCCUGAACAAAACUAAACCCCGACGACUCUUAAGACACCCACUUACAAACCAAGAACAAGUUUACGAAUAAUAAUGUUACUAUACAUCAUAAAAAUAAUAAUUUGAGGAACUAAAAAAUAAACAUUAACGGAUGGGAGAUGAUUGAUGUAACACAUGAGAUGGUGGGCGGGAUAAAAAUUUUAAAGCCUCUGAUUGGCUUUAUUGUGGCCAAUGAAAUCAUUCACAGACCACCGUUUUCUCUUUCAAGAUUAUCAUCGAGCAGUGAAUAAACACAGGAGUGAUGGUGCCGAUUUCCUGACAUGGAUAUGAAAUGUCUGCAGACUGGUGUGUGCACUGAGGAUGGAGAAGUCCACUGCAGCAUCCUGGAAAUGGUCCAGUGACACAGAUGAGAUGCUCCAUCACAUCUAGCAACAAACAAUCAGAAUUCCAUAAAGCGCUCAUCAUGAGAACUGAUGCUGGAGAUUCUCCAUCAUUUAACAUCAACACACACAAUGACGUCACAGGACUCAUGAACCGAUACGAGAGUCGAUUCACUGAUGAUUCACUGCUGCCCAGAGAAGCACUUUCAACCUCUGAGAUUCACAACAUACAACACAUGAGUAUAUUCUCAUCAACCAGUGUGACGUCUGUUUCUGUAACGCUGUCUGUUUAGCUUUUCAUUGUGUGUUGUGUUUUUAUAAUUGUUUUUCUGUCUUUGUAUUUUUGUUUUUCUGUUUGUAUAACUAUACAUGUCCAGAUUAAUUUUGUAUUGUUUCCUCUGUUUGCUUCACCUGUUUAUUUGCUCACUUUUUUUAAAACAUGAAAGAUGCUGUUGAAAAUAUAUAAAACGUAGAAUCAUGUAAUUUUCAUCCCAGUAACUAUAGACAGAU